CAUCUAUGGAGCAUCUGUUGAAGAGGCAUCAAAAUAAGAGAAAAGUGAAUGAGGUGGUGUUUUCUCUCUUUGAGUCAUGCCUGCAGCUGAUCCCUUCAUUCAGAGAAGCACGCAAGAGGCCGCUCAAGAUAGUCGCUUCUCCAGAUGCAGCAUGCAGCCCUGGCCCUUGGGGUCCUCCCAGUGAAGGUGGUGCUUCCAGAAGCCCCAGCCCUUCUCUUUCCUAGCCGAGGGACUCGCCUGCCUACAGAGGGUGUAUAUUCAGAGCUGCUCAUCAUGCACCAGACCUGCUUUCUGAGUCUGUCCGGAUCUCUCUGCUGCAAGGGGAAUGUUUGUCUGCAGUGGCUGGAACAUCUCAGGAAGUCCCUAGGGAUGGCACAUGUGUACCAUCUCCUCCAAUCUAGUUUUUAUCUACCAUAUAAAGUUGACAUUUAG
rnacentral:lncRNA from 1 species